CCAUGAGUAAAGUGGCGACCGGGUGAGUAACACGUGACUAACCUACCUUCGAGUGGGGAAUAACCUCGGGAAACCGAGGCUAAUACCGCAUAAUAUCGCAAGAUCAAAGCAGCAAUGCGCUGGAAGAGGGGGUCGCGGCUGAUUAGCUAGUUGGCGGGGUAACGGCCCACCAAGGCGAAGAUCGGUAUCCGGCCUGAGAGGGCGCACGGACACACUGGAACUGAAACACGGUCCAG
rnacentral:rRNA from 1 species